rnacentral:rRNA from 1 species
CUUCUUGAAUUAAUAUGAAGUCGUGCCUGCCCAUUGAUUUAUUUAACGGCCGCGGUAUUUUGACCGUGCAAAGGUAGCAUAAUCAUUAGUUUUUUAAUUGGAGACUGGAAUGAAAGGUUUGACGAAAUGAAUACUGUCUCUAUUAUAUAUUUUGAAUUUUACUUUUAAGUUAAAAGGCUUAAAUGUUAAAUAGGGACGAGAAGACCCUAUAGAUCUUUAUUUUUAUUUUAUAUUUAUUAAUAUGGUUUAUAAAUAUUUAAUUAUAGAAGAGGAAUUUUGUUGGGGUGAUGAGAGAAUAAAUGGAACUUCUUUUAUAUAUUACUUUGAUAAAAGGGUUUUUGAUCCUUUAAUAUGGAUAUAAGAUUAAGAUACCUUAGGGAUAACAGCGUUAUUUUAUUUUAGAGUUCUUAUCGACAAUAAAGAUUGCGACCUCGAUGUUGGAUUAAGAUAAUAAUUUGGUGUAGUGGCUAAGUUGAGUUGGUCUGUUC